rnacentral:lncRNA from 1 species
GAGCACCUAAUAUUUACCAAGGUUAUGGAGAUAUAGAUCAUUAAAAAGUAAGAUGGUUCUAAAAUCCCCAAACAGUAAUGUUCGUUAGUUUGUGUAUAGGUAGUGUGACCCAAGUUUCAUCAGCAUGGUAUACCUCACACUACAGUAGCACUGCCAGGUCCAGGUCAUGUGGCUUAGGGAGGCUGAAUCCAACAGUGGCAGUGAAGAGCCACCACACCUGGGGCUGAGGCCUGGGCCAUGGAUGCUGUUUCUCUGCUUUGCCCAGAUGUCCUUGGUGUUAGCCUGGCACCUGGCUUUGUGUCAGUCAUUGUGGAAUAGCCUUUUCCUCUGCUUCCUGGUGGCAAGAUAUGCUAAAGCCUAAGCUGGCUUGCUUUCUACUGAUGCCCCAAUCUCAGACUCCUUAUUGGUACCAUGGGUGCUCAGAAUUGAACCCUUUUCCAGUAAGGAAAGAUACUGCUUGAGAAGCCACUUAACCCUGACAAACUUUACUUACUUAUAAUCUCUCCUUAUACAGAUAAAGCAUGACUCCUAGAGAACAUGAGGCCUGCAGUGCAUGAAAGUGAAGUGUCUAUUUCUAGCUCUCAUGAUACCCCAGCAGCCUGGUGGGGUGGUUCCACUUCUUGCAGUUUAUGUUCUAAGAUGGAAUGGGGCCCAUGGACCAAGCUAGGAUUUAGCUAGAAUCUGCCUGUUGGCUCCCUCACUUUACCUCUGUGUGAAAUGAAGCAAGGGCUCAGGGUGCUGG